ACGAACGCUGGCGGCGUGCUUAACACAUGCAAGUCGAACGGAAAGGCCCUGCUUGCAGGGUACUCGAGUGGCGAACGGGUGAGUAACACGUGGGUGAUCUGCCCUGCACUUCGGGAUAAGCCUGGGAAACUGGGUCUAAUACCGGAUAGGAGCCAUUUUUAGUGUGAUGGUUGGAAAGGUUUUUCGGUGUAGGGUGAGCUCGCGGCCUAUCAGCUUGUUGGUGGGGUAAUGGCCUACCAAGGCGGCGACGGGUAGCCGGCCUGGGCGGGUGGACGGCCACAAUUGGGCUGGGGAUCGGCCCCGACUCCUACGGGAGGCCGCAGGGGGGAAUAUUGCACCAUGGGGGCAAGCCUGAUGCAGCGACGCCGCGUGGGGGAUGACGGCCUUCCGGUUGUAAACUCCUUUCGCUCGGGACGAAGCUUUUUGUGACGGUACCUAGAUAAGAAGCACCGGCUAACUACGUG
rnacentral:rRNA from 1 species